rnacentral:lncRNA from 1 species
UGGGGCUCUUGGAAGGCAAGGAUUUAUUCUUGGAAGGCAAGGGAACAUUUGGAAGGCAAGAAUUUAUUCUUGGAAGGCAAGUGGGAACUUGGAAGGCAAGGAUUAUUCUUGGAAGGCAAGGUGCAACUUGGAUUGGCUUGCUUGGCACUUUGUCAGACCAGGGGGGGAGCGCUCGGACCCUGGCUAGUUGGAGGCACAUCCUGCGAUUAACCGGACUGUGUGAAGAGGGGCCGGAUCACAGACCCAAGGAUUAGUCUAGAAUAGGACACCUUGUAAAAAAA